AACGAACGCUGGCGGCAUGCCUAACACAUGCAAGUCGAACGAGACCUUCGGGUCUAGUGGCGCACGGGUGCGUAACGCGUGGGAAUCUGCCCUUGGGUACGGAAUAACAGUGGGAAACUACUGCUAAUACCGUAUAAUGACUUCGGUCCAAAGAUUUAUCGCCCAGGGAUGAGCCCGCGUAGGAUUAGCUUGUUGGUGAGGUAAAAGCUCACCAAGGCGACGAUCCUUAGCUGGUCNGAGAGGAUGAUCAGCCACACUGGGACUGAGGACACGGCCCAGACUCCUACGGGAGGCAGCAGUGGGGAAUAAUUGGACGAAUGGGCGAAAGACCUGACCCAGCAAUGCCGCGUGAGUGAUGAA
rnacentral:rRNA from 1 species